rnacentral:rRNA from 1 species
UACGUAGGCAGCAAGCGUUGUUCGGAGUUACUGGGCGGAAAGGGUGCGUAGGUGGCUCUAUAAGUAUGGUGUGAAAUCUCCCGGCUUAACUGGGAGGGUGCGCCGUAGACUGUGGGGCUAGAGUGUGGGAGAGGAAAGUGGAAUUCCUGGUGUAGCGGUGAAAUGCGUAGAUAUCAGGAGGAACACCGGUGGUGUAAACGGCUUUCUGGACCAUAACUGACACUGAGGCACGAAAGCGUGGGUAGCAAACAGG